rnacentral:tRNA from 1 species
UUUUAAAUAGUUUAAAUUAUAAAACAUAGUAUUGAAAAUACUAUAAUAACCUUAAAGUUUUUAAAUA